rnacentral:lncRNA from 1 species
AAUGAACAUGCAGAGCACAGAGGAUUUUUAGGAUAUUUAUUUAUACAUUUGUCCAAACCCCUAGAACACGUGAAAGAGCACACUAAAUAAUCAUAUAUCUUCUCUUCACCAAAGACUUGGAGACAAGGUUCUUCGGGUCAGCACAGAGGCAAUGGUACAUGCAGUGAGUAGCAGGUCUCAGCAUGGAUUUCUUCACAAGCAUCUCCAGUACAGGCCUGGACAAUCUUCUUCAGAUGAGCAACAAGAUCCUCUGGUUCUUAAUCAUCAAUAUACUCAAAUGGUUCUGGAGGUUCUGGCUCUUGUUCUUCUUCCUCGAUUUUUGGGCCAUGGGCUGUUCUUCAAUGUCUUCACUGGUAUCCUUCAGGAUAAUGAUGCCUCCAAUGGAAAAUGGUUUGAAAGGCUGGUAUCUACAGGUCUCUGGCAUGGUCAGGACCUUAAGCUGGGCAGGCAUAACUCGGGCUGGAUUAUCCAAUAACUGGAAGUUUGGCUCAGGUUCUUUUUUCUUCUCUUUUUCUUCCUUUUUCUCUGCUUCAUCCACUUCCAUUUUCUCCUCCUCUUUUUUCUCUUUCUCUUUUUCCAGAUCCUAUUCUUAUUUUGUACUUUGAAAGAUUCGAAAAAAAAAAAAAAAAAAAAAAGAAAGAUUCGUGUGCUCUAAAGUACAGUCUUUGGACCUCCUUACUUGUCAACUACCUGACUCUGUUAGUGAUCUACUCCUGUCCCAUUACUCUGAAUAUUAUUAAGUUGAUAUCUUGCAGUAUUUUCCCAGGCCCAACAUUUCCCUGAACUGCUGUCCCUUGGUUUCUAAGUAGGCAUCGAUCCUUGAGGACUGAGCAUCAGCCGCACUGACCCCCUUGCAUGUAGUUGAGCAGACCAUGCAAGCUUCCACUGUGGGAUAUUUCUAUUUCUUCUCUCUGCCUGCAAUGUUCCCCUCGUUACCCCUUUUAUAGUCAGGGAAGGUUUACUUACCUUUGAUCUUUUACAUUAUUACUUCAUCCAAAAGUGUCCUCCUGAAUCACCUUCAAUACAGUACCCAGCCAUAGCACGUCUAGACCCCAUCCUCAUGUCCGUUAAGAAGAUCAAUGUGGUGUCCGUGUCUCGAGUGUAGCUCUCCUCCCUGGCUGAACCCUAGGAGACCUUUGUAGGGGAGGAAGAGAGGUGGUUUUGGAGUCCUAUAAUCACUUUCUUACUUACAACCUACCUGAGAUGUUAUCUUAGACAAGUUGCUUGGUUGAUUCUCCAUGUAAAUGAAGACAGCAAUAUCCAAUAUGUUCAGACGGUACUUGGCCUGAUGUGUUAGCCAUUAUAGAAAACACACAAAAGAAAAUAAAAAUUCCAAAUCAUCUUAGUUAGAUUUGUUUUUUGGUAACCAAGCCAUAUAAUUAGAAUUAUUUUAGUAAAUUUAUAGCUUAACAAUUUUAUUACUUAGUACUUUGCACUGAGCUGAAAAUUGGAGUUACCUGUUCUAAAAAUGGGGGGGAGGUAAAAAAAUUGCAUUUUCUUUUAAUUGUCAUCUUAUUUUUUUUUAAUGAGAUAUAAUUGGCAUACAAUAUUAUAUUAGUUUCAGGUGUACAACAUAAUGAUUCAAUAUUUGUAUAUCUUACAAAAGAAUCACCACAAUAUGUCUAGGUAAUAUCUGUCAACCAUACAUAGUUACAGAAUUUUUUUCUUUAUGAGAAUUUUUAUGAUUUACUCUCUUAGCGACUUUCAACCAUGCCCUACAGGUUUAUCAACUACAGCUGCCGUGCUGUACAGUACAGCUCUAUUAUUUACUUUAUAGCUGGACGUUUGUCCCUUUGGACUCCUUUCAGCCACUUUGCACCCCAAAUGCACCCCAACUGCCUGCCUUCUGGCCACCACUAAUUUGUUCUCUGUAUCAGUGACUUUAGAUUUUUUUUAAAAAAUUCUAUAUAUAAGUGAGAUCAUCCUGUAUUUGUCUUUCUCUGUCUGACUUAUUUCACUUAGCCUAAUGCCCUCAAGGUCCAACCAGGCUGUAGCAAAUGAUAGGAUUUCAUCCUUUUUUAAUGGUCAAAUAAUAUUCUACUGUGUAUUUACCACAUCUCCCUUAUCCAUUCAUUCAUCCAGGCUGAAUGGGUGUUUCCAUAUCUUGGCUACUGUAAAUACUUCUGCAAAGAACAUGGGCUGCAUAUAUUUUUUCAAGUUAGUGUUUUGAUUUCUUUGCAUAAAUAGCUGAAAGUGGAGUUACUAGAUCAUAUGGUAGCUCUAUUUUUAUUUUUUGAGAAGCCUCAAACAAGUUUUGUCAAAACAAACAAGGUUUGAGAAAACUUUGUGUUCCAUAGUAGCUGCACCUGUUUGCAUUCCCACCAACAGUGCCCAAGGGCUCCCUUUUCUCUACAUCCUCACCUACACUUGUUAUUUCUUGUCUUUUUGAUAAUAGUCAUUCAAACAGGUAUGAGGUGAUAUCUCAUUGUGGUUUUGAUCGGCAUUUCCCUGAUAAUUAGUAAUAUUAAGCAUUUUUUUCACGUACCUAUUAGCCAUCUGUAUGUCCUUGGAAAAAUGUCUAUUCAGAUCCUCUGCCCAACAAUCCUUAGAUUGUUGUGGGGUUUUAUUUGUUUGUUUGUUGUUGGGUUGUAUGAAUUCUUAUAUGUCUUGGAUAUUAACCUCUUAUCAGCUAUAUGGUUUGUAAAAAUUUUUCCAUUCUAUCGGUUGCCUUUUCAUUAUAUUUUAUGAUUUCCUUUGCCACGUAGAAGCUUUUAGGUUUGAUGUAGUCCCACUUGUUUAUUUUUGCUUUUGUUACCUUUGCUUUUUAUGUCAAAUCCAAAAAAAAAAACAAAACAAAACAAAACAUUGCCAAGACCUAUGUCAAGGAGCUAACCACAUAUGCUUUCUUCUAGGAGCUUUAUGGUCAUCUAUUGUGUUGUUUUACUUUUGAUUCAUUCACUUUCAAGUCCUCUAGUCUCUAACAACCCCUCAGUCUUUAUUCAUUCACUCAUAUAGUCAUUUUCUUUAAUUAGGUAACUGCCACAAUGAAGAGAUUAAGCUUUUUGGUUUCAUAUAUAAAAAUAUUUCUUUUCUGUCCUAAGUCUGAUAUUUUCUUUUAUUGCAACCUAUAAAAUUCCCAACGUGUAUAUUUCUUACCAGCCCAGUGUAGGCUUCAGAUAAAGCUAAAAUGCUUCACAAUUAUCUAAAACUAAAGGAUACAGUAUUCAAAAGCAUUGGUACAGAGUGGUGAUUUUAUAUUCCUUUUUCCUUUUAACCCUGGCACAAAUAUUUUAAAAGUUGACUUGCAUAGUAUUCAGGAUUGGUAAUCCCACUAAUAACAUUAUGCAGAUGUAGAAACACAGACAGCCAAAAAGGAAAAAUAAAAUUAACAAAGCAAGUGAAAAUGCAUUUUUUUCUUUCUUUUCUUUUCUUUUUCUUUUCUUUUCUUUUCUUUUCUUUUCUUUUCUUUUCUUUUCUUUUCUUUUUUAAUGUGGAGGAAGGCUGUUGUGGAACACAUGUGUGAAGCUCCCAGCAUCAUUAUAUCUAGAAGUGCCCAUGUAUUUAGUAUAUAUGAAUUUUUUUUAAAGGAAACCAGAGAUAAUAGUCUUAGGAUAUUGAAAAUUCUGUACCAGCACUUCUCUUUCCACAUGAGCCAAAUUGUUCCACUACUUUGUUGCAAUCCCACUAUUUAUCCUCUUUCUCAUUUCCAUUUAUCUAAGCAUUUUCUAAACAUGCCUCAAAAUCCUUUUUUCAAAUCUGUAUUUCACUGUGGCUAUUUCAACCUAGGGUCCUUUCCCUGUACCAAAGACUUUUACCCAGUAGUUCUCUACUACAAAAAGUACAUCCUCAAUCAUGACAGCCUCAGACCAAACAGAGUUCUUGUUUCUGUGAGAUAAUAAAAUAGCCUAGAUAAAGCAAAAAAUGGAGAUUUAGAAUGUCCCUAGCAAAUUUCUAAUAAAAUGUCCAGUUAAUUAAAGUCUUAUCUCUGAACUUAAUUCAUUAGAUAGGUAAUUUAAAAUUUCAAAAGACACAAUUAAGACAAUUGCAGUUGGGCCUUACUUACCCAAAUAGUUAAAGCUUACUCUCUUUAAGUCCAUAUAUCCUUCAGACCAGAUAUUAUUGGGGACCUGAAAGUCAGAUCACAAAUGAUAGCUAAGGUCAAGCUAAAAAAAAAAAUUGUGUAAGAACAUCAGAAAUACAGAUUUUCUAUUCCCCUCUUUACUGAUUGAAUAAAGAAAACAUAGCCCAGUUACAUCUCAGCAUAUCAGAUACCCACCAAGAGGUCUUCAAUAAAUAUCCAAUUGCCCUUAGAAAACCAUAUACAUUUUCAUAGACAAUCAGAGGGCACCCGGGUGGUUCAGUCAGUUAAGCAUCUUCCUUUGGCUCAGGUCAUGAUUCCAGGGUUCUGGGAUCGAGACCUGAGUAGGGUCCCGCUCAGUGAGGAGUAUGCAGUUCCCCCUGCUUGUGCUCUCUUUCUCUCUCUCUCUGUCAAAUAAAAAAAUAAAAUCUAAAAAAAGAAAGAAAGAAAACAUAAUUAAGUAAAAAUAGAUCUUUUAAUUUUAAUCACCUUGUUUAAAUUCCUUCAUUACUGUUUGAGUGCAAAUACUAUUAUUUCCAAAAUUCAAAUUUCAAUAAUUAUUUUAGUAAUAAAAAAUUUUCCUCAUUCAAAUUAGCAUCACCAGAAAAUAAAUCCUUUUAUUCUAAGGAAUAUAUCUGAUUAGACUUAAUUUUAGUUCUCAAUUUUCUCUCCAGUUUAUUGAUUAAAGUUCCUAACCUAACUAGAUCUAUUAUGCCUAUUAAAAAUGUAUCAAAACAAAAAUUAUGUAAGCCCUAACCCAUAUUUUUUUUAGUGCAACUGCAUACAUAGCUAUUUUAUUCUGUCUUUAAUACAAUCCCAACCCAAAGUAGUUAUGUAAUCUUAAGGUUAAACUUUGACCAAAUCUGAGUAGGAAACAUGCUUAUAAAUUUUUGAAAAAAUAUUUUCAAUUCAGUAAAUGUAUUUCUCCUAUCUAAAUGGCAUUGCAAUUCCCAAUACCCUCUCCCAUCCAGAAAUAUAUCACAAAACAGUUUGAAGCUAAUUUUCUCUAUUUCACCAGCCCCCCCUGGGUAUCCAGCCCAGUUUCCAUCUUGUGGUUAAAGGAUUACUGGUCCCUUCUUCAGAAAUUGUGUUCGAGCUGGUGGGAGUGGGAGGUGGCCCCUAGAUUCUUCUUCAUUUAAAAAGGAAAGUGAUAAGGAGCCCUAUUUUAAAUACAAAAUGCAAAAACAUGGAAAUUCAUCUAUUACAUUGAUAUCCUUUUAAUACUAGAAUUUGCUAUUCAUGUAAUCUUACAAGCUUUUUCCUUUAUUACUAAUAAAUGCCCUUUGAAAGAUACAGCCUCUUCACUCCUGUAGCUAAAACUGUUGAAAUCAUGCAAUUCCUAAUUGCAUGAAAAAUGUUAUUUUAGAGCUUAAAAAAAUUAAUCCUUAUUCACAAUAUAUUAUCAUUUAAUAAGUCUAGUGCAGUCUGGAAACACUCAAUUUUGCACACACUAAUAUCCUAUAUAGUUGGCAUAAUUAAUACUAAUGGUUUUAUUCAAUUAAUAUUUGCUGAGUGUUUACUAGG